CCCUAACAGCUAGCUUAAGCCCCCAAUAAUAG
rnacentral:rRNA from 1 species